UGCAGUCGAGCGGACAGAAGGGAGCUUGCUCCCGGAUGUUAGCGGCGGACGGGUGAGUAACACGUGGGUAACCUGCCUGUAAGACUGGGAUAACUCCGGGAAACCGGAGCUAAUACCGGAUAGUUCCUUGAACCGCAUGGUUCAAGGAUGAAAGACGGUUUCGGCUGUCACUUACAGAUGGACCCGCGGCGCAUUAGCUAGUUGGUGAGGUAACGGCUCACCAAGGCGACGAUGCGUAGCCGACCUGAGAGGGUGAUCGGCCACACUGGGACUGAGACACGGCCCAGACUCCUACGGGAGGCAGCAGUAGGGAAUCUUCCGCAAUGGACGAAAGUCUGACGGAGCAACGCCGCGUGAGUGAUGAAGGUUUUCGGAUCGUAAAGCUCUGUUGUUAGGGAAGAACAAGUGCAAGAGUAACUGCUUGCACCUUGACGGUACCUAACCAGAAAGCCACGGCUAACUACGUGCCAGCAGCCGCGGUAAUACGUAGGUGGCAAGCGUUGUCCGGAAUUAUUGGGCGUAAAGGGCUCGCAGGCGGUUUCUUAAGUCUGAUGUGAAAGCCCCCGGCUCAACCGGGGAGGGUCAUUGGAAACUGGGAAACUUGAGUGCAGAAGAGGAGAGUGGAAUUCCACGUGUAGCGGUGAAAUGCGUAGAGAUGUGGAGGAACACCAGUGGCGAAGGCGACUCUCUGGUCUGUAACUGACGCUGAGGAGCGAAAGCGUGGGGAGCGAACAGGAUUAGAUACCCUGGUAGUCCACGCCGUAAACGAUGAGUGCUAAGUGUUAGGGGGUUUCCGCCCCCUUAGUGCUGCAGCUAACGCAAUUAAGCACUCCCUCCUGGGGGAGUACGGGCCGCAAGACUGAAACCUCAAA
rnacentral:rRNA from 1 species